rnacentral:piRNA from 1 species
CUCCUCAUGACGCAUGAGCGGUGUCCUUUA